rnacentral:rRNA from 1 species
UACGUAGGGGGCUAGCGUUGUCCGGAUUUAUUGGGCGUAAAGAGCGUGUAGGCGGCCAUGUAGGUCCGGUGUGAAACCUCGAGGCUUAACCUCGGAGAUGUCAUCGGAAACCAUUUGGCUGAGAGUACCGGAAGAGGAGAGUGGAAUUCCUGGUGUAGCGGUGAAAUGCGCAGAUAUCAGGAAGAACACCAAUGGCGAAAGCAGCUCUCUGGGACGGUACUGACGCUGAAGGUGGCGAAAGCGUGGGGAGCAAACAGG